UGGUGGAGUGAUUUGUCUGGUUAAUUCCGUUAACGAACGAGACCUCAGCCUGCUAAAUAGUCACCAGUACCUUCUACCAGGUGAAGCGUACGAUGCGGGGCGGUGGUUUACCAUCGUCUCCUCGUGCGUGGAUCCUUGAUGCGUACUGGACCCGACUUCUUAGAGGGACUAUUGGUGUCUAACCAAUGGAAGUUUGAGGCAAUAACA
rnacentral:rRNA from 1 species